AGUGUUCGUAAAAGCAACAAUACAAAAAACACAAAGUGCCACUUUGUCCCACUAUUAUGUGCAGGCCUGGCAUUUUGCACUGGGCUAUAGAACUACAAAAUGAAUUUUAAAUUACCAAUAUCAUGAUUGAAUGACAUUUUGAAUCAUGUAGUGAUCUAAUUCUAUCCACCAAGCAAUUGUAUGUGAAUGUGUGAGACUUAUGGUCAUGGUUAUAGGGAAAUAACAAGAAGAACAAAGUGCAGUAAAAGGUAAAACUGUUUGCACUACAAACCAGUACGUUCAUAAUUAAGACAAUACAUUAAAAAUAACAUGGUAAGAUACAGCAGUUUGCAACAGUAAACGGCAAAACAAGCUGUUUGUACAGCUAAUAUAGCUGGAAUGACACCGAAAGCCAGACACAUUAAAUCUACAAAUGGCCGCGCCCCCUCUUACAGAAAAAAAAUAAGGGGCAUAUGUUUAUUCAUAUUUUUAUUUAUGUAACGUAAGCGUGUGACUUUUAAUUCGUGACGUGCUUUCAUGGGCGUGCGCGCGGACCGGAUGGAGUUGCCAUGGAAACGGAGCGCAACACUGCAAAUGUCACGGGGAAACACCCCGUUUCUCGCUGAUUUCACUGUUUUCAGAUGAGUUAAGUCCAUAAAAUCACACAAAUACUACUUAACUGUAUUAAUAACUGUUGUUGACACUUCUCUUACUUGUAUUUGACUCGAUUCUGUUGUUUAUUUACUUUAUAGGAAUGGUUUAAUGUCUUCGAAAAAGUCCGUUAGCGUUUCUACCGUUUUCAGACGACGUAUCGUCAGAAGGGAGUGUCCAAGAUUUCAAUAUUUCUGAAGGGAGCUGCUGACAGAGAUGUAGGAAGCGCUGAAGAGAUUCUUCAGUGCUGAUGGCCUGCUGCAUCCAGCAGAGUCGGAGUGAACCUACUGUAAGACAACAUCUCCAAGAUGCUAUUGACCACAAAACUAGUACAGGUUAUUAGAAACUGCACAGCACAGGACUUGCAGGACUUGUGAGGACUUCAGAUGAUACCAGUACUCAAAAGACCUUAGAUGAUGGCAACUAUAGAUGGACAUACAAACUACCGCCACUGCAAAAAAGAUUCUAAUUUGAAAGAAGUUUAUAAUGCAUGUUCGCUACUCCCAAUUCAGAAGACUGAAUCAGCCUGUGUAUCUGAAUGUUUCUCAUACUCACUCCUCUCUGCCGCGUCUGAAUAUAAACGUCAAAAUUAAAAGAAAUAAACAUUUGAAAUAUAUCAGUCUGUGUGUAAUGAAUACAUAUAAUAUACAAGUUUCACUUUUUGAAUGGAAUUAGUGAAAUAAAUCAACUUUUUGAUGAUAUUCUAAUUAUAUGACCAGCACCUGUAUAUCAUUGCUCUUUUGUUGAGUUUGAUUGCUUCCAUUGUCCUCAUUUGUAAG